rnacentral:rRNA from 1 species
CAGCUUCGGCUGUCAGCGGCGGACGGGUGAGUAACGCGUAGGUAUCUAUCUCCGGGUGGGGGACAACCGUGGGAAACUACGGCUAAUACCGCAUGAUGCCCGAGGGCCAAAGCAGUAAUGCGCCUGGAGAGGAGCCUGCGUACGAUUAGCUUGUUGGCGGGGUAAUGGCCCACCAAGGCGACGAUCGUUAGCUGGUCUGAGAGGAUGAUCAGCCACACUGGGACUGAGACACGGCCCAGACUCCUACGGGAGGCAGCAGUGGGGAAUAUUGGACAAUGGGCGCAAGCCUGAUCCAGCAAUGCCGCGUGAGUGAAGAAGGUCUUCGGAUUGUAAAGCUCUUUCGACGGGGACGAUGAUGACGGUACCCGUAGAAGAAGCCCCGGCUAACUUCGUGCCAGCAGCCGCGGUAAUACGAAGGGGGCUAGCGUUGCUCGGAAUGACUGGGCGUAAAGGGCGCGUAGGCGGUUCGUACAGUCAGACGUGAAAUUCCCGGGCUCAACCUGGGGGCUGCGUUUGAUACGUACGGGCUUGAGUUCGGAAGAGGGUCGUGGAAUUCCCAGUGUAGAGGUGAAAUUCGUAGAUAUUGGGAAGAACACCGGUGGCGAAGGCGGCGACCUGGUCCGAUACUGACGCUGAGGCGCGAAAGCGUGGGGAGCAAACAGGAUUAGAUACCCUGGUAGUCCACGCCGUAAACGAUGUGUGCUGGAUGUUGGGCAGUCUGACUGUUCAGUGUCGUAGCUAACGCGAUAAGCACACCGCCUGGGGAGUACGGCCGCAAGGUUGAAACUC